rnacentral:rRNA from 1 species
CCUUGAGGGUGAGGUGCGAUGAUGGGCGCCUUUCAGGCGCGAUAUCCGGUGGUCCAGGCCGUCGAGAAAAGCCUCGGCGCGAGGGGCGUUGCCGCCCGUACCCCAAACCGACACUGGUGGUCAGGUAGAGAAUACCAAGGCGAUCGAGCGAAUCCUGGUCAAGGAACUCGGCAAAUCACUCCCGUGCCUUCGGUAUAAGGGAGACCCCUGAUGGUGAUGGAACUUGCUUCCGGAGCUUUCGGGGGUGGCACAGACCAGGGGGUAGCGACUGUUUACCAAAAACACAGGUGCAUGCGAAGGCGCAAGCCGCUGUAUAUGCACUGACGCCUGCCCGGUGCCGGAAGGUUAAGAGGAUCCGUCAGCCCUUUGGGUGAAGCGGUGAAUUCAAGCCCCGGUAAACGGCGGUGGUAACUAUAACCAUCCUAAGGUAGCGAAAUUCCUUGUCGGGUAAGUUCCGACCUGCACGAAUGGCGUAACGACUUCCCCACUGUCUCGACCAGGAGCUCGGCGAAAUUGCAGUACGAGUAAAGAUGCUCGUUAAGCGCAGAAGGACGAAAAGACCCCGGGACCUUUACUAUACCUUGGUAUUGGCGUUAUGCGCGGAUUGUGUAGCAUAGGCGGGAGGCUUCGAAGCGCGGGCGCCAGCCCGUGUGGAGCCGCAAGGUGAAAUACCGCUCUGUUCUCGUUUGACGUCUCACCUCGAACAGUCAUCCUGUUCAGGGACAGUGCCUGGCGGGUAGUUUAACUGGGGCGGUUGCCUCCCAAAGAGUAACGGAGGCGCUCAAAGGUCCGCUCAGCCCGGUUGGCAAUCGGGUUUCGAGUGUAAUCGCACAAGCGGGCUUGACUGCGAGAACGACGGUUCGGGCAGGGACGAAAGUCGGAGAUAGUGAUCCGGUGCCGGCGCACGGGCGCGGCAUCGCUCAACGGAUAAAAGGUACCCCGGGGAUAACAGGCUGAUCAUUCCCAAGAGUCCAUAUCGACGGGAUGGUUUGGCACCUCGAUGUCGGCUCGUCGCAUCCUGGGGCUGGAGCAGGUCCCAAGGGUUCGGCUGUUCGCCGAUUAAAGCGGCACGCGAGCUGGGUUCAGAACGUCGUGAGACAGUUUGGUCUCUAUCCUCUGCGCUCGUUGGAAUCCUGAGGAGGCCUGCCCAUAGUACGAGAGGACCUGGGUGGACGGACCUCUGGUAUGCCGGUUGUCGCGCCAGCGGCAUGGCCGGUUGGCUACGUUCGGGAGGGAUAACCGCUGAAAGCAUCUAAGCGGGAAGCCUGCUCCAAGAUUAGGAUUCCUUGACGCUCCUCGGAGCGUUUGUAGCCCGCAUGUUGAACACGUGUUCGAUAGGCCGGAGGUGGAAGUCCCGCGAGGGAUGGAGCCGACCGGUACU